rnacentral:rRNA from 1 species
GGACCAGACUUCUACGGAAGGCAGCAGUGAGGAAUAUUGGUCAAUGGAGGAAACUCUGAACCAGCUAUGCCGCGUGUACGGAUGACAGUCUUUUAGAUUGUAAACUACUUUUACAUAGAAAUAAAAGUUACUACGUGAUAGUAAUCUGAAGGUACUAUGCGAAUAAGUGUCGGCUAAUUUCGUGCCAGCAGCCGCGGUAAUACGAAAGACACAAGCGUUAUCCGGAUUUAUUGGGUUUAAAGGGUGUGUAGGCUGUUUAUUAAGUCAGUAGUGAAAGCUUACAGCUUAACUGUAAAAUUGCUAUUGAUACUGAUAAUCUUGAGUAAGAUUGGAGCAUCUGGAAUGUAUGGUGUAGCGGUGAAAUGCAUAGAUAUCAUACAGAACACCAAUAGCGAAGGCAGGAUGCUAAAUCUUUACUGACGCUGAGGCACGAAAGCGUGGGUAGCAAACAGGAUUAGAUACCCUGGUAGUCCACGCCCUAAACUAUGAUCACUAGCUAUUGGAAAAAUUAUAUUCAGUGGCUAAGCUAAAGCGAUAAGUGAUCCACCUGGGAAGUACGAUCGCAAGAUUGAAACUCAAAGGAAUUGACGGGGUUCCGCACAAGCGGUGGAGCAUGUGGUUUAAUUCGAUGAUACGCGAGGAACCUUACCAAGGUUUAAAUGUAUUACGAAUAAGCUGGAAACAACUUAGUCUAUAAGACGUAAUACAAGGUGCUGCAUGGUUGUCUUCAGUUCGUGCUGUGAAGUGUUUGGUUAAGUCCUAUAACGAGCGCAACCCCUAUUGUUAGUUGCCAUCGGGUAAAGCCGGGGACUCUAACAAAACUGCCGGUGUAAAUCGUGAGGAAGGUGGGGAUAAUGUCAA